GGGGGUUUAAACGUCUUUAAUGUGCCAGACGGGCUCAUACACAUGAUGUAAAAAAUACAAUUAAAUAAUAAUAAUAAUAAUAAUAAUAAUAAUUAAACAGAUAAAUGAAUAAAAAUGCUAAAAAAAAUCUUAAAAAGACAAUGUAAUAGACUAUAAUUAGGACUAGCGUUGGACUAACUCUAUCCCAAAUCCACUGCUAGUAAAUUUCACAAACAGUUACAAACAAACAGCAAGUAACACAUUGAAUUAAACGUGAAAAUCCGAAGUAGACUGUCCUAUUGGUGGUCUCAUGUCAAAUAGCUUAAUUUGUCCUAAAUUUAACUGUAGGUUACAACAUGCACCUCCAAACGCCAAAAACUUCAAAAAAAAAAAAAUUAUUCAAAAAUAAAGUCCAAACUUUACGCGAAAGAGAAUGAUGAGAUAAAAGCAAAGGCUACACUUCAAACAAUAAAUUAAAAAUAAAAAAAGCGUAUAAAUAGUACGCCAAAUACAAACAGAAAAUCUUGCUAUUGAUUUGCAGAAAUGGACUUUGGCCUGCAUAUCAUACUCACGUGUUUGACGUGCAUAUAAUAUGCAGUUUUCGCGUGCAUAUGAUACGCAAUUUGUUGGCGUGCAUAUGAUACGUAUCUACCCUAAAACCCUAAUCCUUCCCAUUGCGUAUCAUAUGCACGACAAAGUCAAUUUAUGCGUGUAAAUAGUACGCCAAAUCGAAACAUAAACUCGCGAUGCGCACUUUCAAGAGAUCGUGUUGUUAAAACACAGCAUGUCUUCAACAACCAAUACUUUAAAAUAUUUGACUCUUUACAACACUUUAAACUGGGGUAAAUGACGUCAUAAUGCCGCAUAAUCCCAUCUCAAGCAUUUGAGAUGUUUAAACACCUUUUUAAACAUUUGAAAAGUUGUUAAACAUGUAUAGAUCUAACUAAUCGUCUCAAAGCACAUUCUCAUGCCAUCUUUGCUCUAUGCCAAUGCCAGUGUCUCCCUGAUCAAGUGGUCCUAAACAUUUCACAAUUUUGAGAUGAACUGUUGAACUGUUAAGAACCACUGCACCAGAGAGACCAGAAGAGACCCGACGGCAUCCACAUCUGAAGCUGUCCAGGACCUCCUCUUCUGCUCCAGCGGGGCUGUCCUAGCCGUCCACACAGGACGCGUUCCUUGCGUUCAAAAACAUCACGAUGGAGCGGAACGGAAACCCUCAACACGUGUUUCUAGGAGUUGAACUAUAACCAUAACUUCGGAAAGGUAUUUCCUCUUUUAAAAGCAAUCUCUUAAUAAACAAAUAUCUCGUGGAGCACCUGGUUCAAGUCACCCAUCCGACAUAAGCGUUCCAAGACGAUAAAAGGCUGAUUCUAAAGCGCAAACAGUUCUUCUGGAACGGUCUCAGCUCGUCGAUAGACAACUUGGGUGUGCUGUAAGUCUUUUUAUACCUGAGGUGCGUGUACAGUUCACACUGGGCUUUUCAUUCAGACUGGAAUGACGACUCUGCAGGUCUGACCGGCUUUUCUGGGUUCCUGGGCAGAAAGAGCAAUCAGCGCCGCAUCUUACAUGUCCGUUGUACCUCAUGCAUAGGCUGUUCUCUUAAAAGUUAGUUUAGUCCAUGUAUCCUCAGUAUUUAUCAUCAGCAUGGUCCUGCCAACAUACAGUGGCCCCAAAAGAUGGAUGGGAAAACACAAGAUGCCUUGUGCUUUUUUAUUUUUAAUUUUAAAAAAGAAAAUUUCUUUUAACUGGACUGAUAAUAACGACAGGAAGUGACAGUAAGCAGGAAGGCCUCCAAACGAUCUUGUUGGACAAGCAGUGAACUUGAUAAACUUGCCGUUCUAGAGAAAAGACAGAAAAAACAACAACAUUGGUGACAUAUUACAGCUGACUGACUGAAGGUUUGAUAGUCAACAAGACACCUGUUGCCGUGAUUAGAUCCAGAUUCCAGGAAUAUCUUUGCUGUUUCAAUGUAAUGUUGUUUGGGAGCAUUUUAAAAGUUCAUGAAAGUCCCUGAAUGACUGGUCAGACCUGAGUAAACACUGCAGAUGAAGGGGGUGAGAUGAAAUGUGUGUGGGUUUGUGUGUGAGAGAGUAUCCUGCAGCUCAUCACGGGAGAGGUGACCUCCACAACAUCCUUACAUCUGCAGACAUAGAAAAGUGACAUACAGAAAGACAAAUAAAUUAUAUUAAGUCUUAUGAGUCGUCUGUGGUCCUCCAACAUCUGUUUAAUUGAAUCUGUGUAAAACUAUCUAGAUUUUUACAUGAUUCAGAGAUUGUGAGUGCUGCUUGUUCAUGCAAAAGUUCAUGCUGGGUGAAUUUAGGGUAGACUCUCUUUUGGGUCACCAUAAUAAUCUAGUCUCCAGAGCCCAGCAAGAAGUGUUUUGGAAAUAUGUUGUUUUGCUAUCCAUGAUCAGGUUUUUAAAGGCAAGAAUGGAUUGGAUCACCCUGAUCCAAUAUGGAAGAAAAGAAAAAAUAAAUAAAUGGACCAACUUAAUAAUAAUUAUAAUUUGUUACAGCCAAACGUUUUAGUUUUAGUAUUUGCUAUUAGUAUUUAUUUAGUAAACCAUUAGUAUUUAUGGCUUGGUUCAAAAUUAAUCAAACAUAUUUAUUUUCUCAAAGACAAAAACACUCACACAAAGUAAAACACAAAGUAAAAAAGAUUAUU